AUUGAACGCUGCGGCAGGCUUAACACAUGCAAGUCGAGCGAGCGGCGGACGGGUGAGUAAUGCUUCGGAAUCUUCCUAUUAGUGGGGAACAACAUCUUGAAAGGGCCGAUAAUACCGCAUACCAAUAGAUGAGCCUAAGUAGUAUUAGCUUGUUGGUGGGGUAAAGGCCUACCAAGGAGACGAUCUGUAGCGGGUCUGAGAGGAUGAUCCGCCAAACUUGGACUGAGACACGGCCCUGACUCCUACGGGAGGCAGCAGUGGGGAAUAUUGGACAAUGGGGGGAACCCUGAUCCAGCCAUGACGCGUGUGUGACGAAGGCCUUAUGGUUGUAAAGCACUUUAAGCGAGGAGGCGUUACUCGCAGAAUAAGCACCGGCAAACUCUGUGCCAGCCGCCGCGGUAAUUC
rnacentral:rRNA from 1 species